UAGCGAGUUGGUAGAGCGGUUUAUUACAUCGGUCUUGAAAAUCGAAGGAGGUGGAAACAUCUUCCGUGAGUUCGAAUCUCACACUCGCUGCCAU
rnacentral:tRNA from 1 species